GAAAUGCGAUAAGUAAUGUGAAUUGCAGAAUUCAGUGAAUCAUCGAAUCUUUGAACGCACCUUGCGCUCCUUGGUAUUCCUUGGAGCAUGCCUGUUUGAGUAUCAUGAAAUCUUCAAAGUAAAUCUUUUGUUAACUCAAUUGGUUUCUACUUUGGUAUUGGAGGUCUUUGCAGCUUCACACCUGCUCCUCUUUGUUCAUUAGCUGGAUCUCCGUGUUAUGCUUGGUUCCACUCGGCGUGAUAAGUUAUCUAUCGCUGAGGACACUGUAAAAGGUGGCCAAGGUAAAUGCAGAUGAACCGCUUCUAAUAGUCCAUUGACUUGGACAAUACUUUUAUGAUCUGAUCUCAAAUCAGGUAGGACUACCCGCUGAACUUAAGC
rnacentral:misc_RNA from 1 species